CCUACGGGUGGCUGCAGUGAGGAAUAUUGGUCAAUGGGAGAGAUCCUGAACCAGCCAAGCCGCGUGAGGGAAGACGGCCCUAUGGGUUGUAAACCUCUUUUGUCGGGGAACAAAACCCGGGACGUGUCCCGGACUGCGUGUAUCCGGAGAAAAAGCAUCGGCUAACUCCGUGCCAGCAGCCGCGGUAAUACGGAGGAUGCGAGCGUUAUCCGGAUUUAUUGGGGUUAAAGGGUGCGGAGGCGGUGCGUUAAGUCAGCGGUAAAAUUGCGGGGCCCAACCCCGUCGGGCCGUUGAAACUGGCAGACUGGAGUGGGCGAGAAGUACGCGGAAUGCGUGGUGUAGCGGUGAAAUGCAUAGAUAUCGCGCAGAACUCCGAUUGCGAAGGCAGCGUACUGG
rnacentral:rRNA from 1 species